AAGAGGUUCAAAUGUCCGUAAAAUAGUUGCAGGAUUGGCCGAAGAUGCCGAAAGAGCAUCAUGCUAUGAUAGUUUGGCUUUAGAUCACAGAUUGAUGUGUGGUAUUUGAUAUGCUUGCGUUUUACACUCUUUGGUGGUUCAUUUCAAAAGUCACAAUGCCAGUUCAACGACAAACAGUCUUUUGACGGAAAUAGGAAAUAGCAAGUAGCAGAUCAGGGUGAAAUUCUUCCCAGAUGAGGUUCUAGAUGAGAAAAAAGCUGAAAAGUCUACAAGCUGAUAAAUUGUACAUCGAAGAGGAGGAUGAAUGGUUGCAAUCCUGUUCACUUUUUCCUAAGUCGUUUGAUUUAAACCUAUGUAAGAGCAAAUAGCGUUUUACAGUAUAAGGAAAUACAAUAGCUUCAUAUGUCUUAACAUUGGCAGUGUUUCAGUAAUUCUUGUUAAGAUGACACAAGUUGAUAUGCAAAAAAAUUGCGGCCGAUGAUCUGUGUGAGGAUGAAUACUAUCUUUGUCACGGAUCCUAAUUCCUGCCUUAGAAAUGGUUUCUCAAACGGAUAAACCGGCAAAUUUAUGUGACUUUAUCUAAUUGAGGUUGUAUUUUGUGUUACCAAACGAACAACUUGGUUUUAGAUUUAAUGACCACCUACAAGAUUAACUAAAAACAACGUGCAAUUAUAGCCUCAUUUCUCAUUCCAACCAUCCAGUGAUGUUUCAUAAUAUCAUUCUCUGCUAACUAAAUUAAACAAUUGCUGCUAAAUGAGUAACUCUUUUUAUUAAAUCAGAUUUCUCCGGGACAAAACAAAGAAAUGCCGCGACGCCUGGCCGAAAAUCUCUCCAUGGAGGAAUAGACCAUCCCUACAGCAGGCUUGCUUUUGAAGGCUGUUUGUUUGCCCAUUGUAAACACAGGGUUCCAUUCUUAGAUAACGUUAAAUUGACGGAUCUAAUUGAACUGUUGGACAUAGAGGCGUAGCCACUGUCUUAUAUGUUGCUUAUAUUCGCAAGUUUCUCGAUCCUCUAACGCCUCGACAUACUAUAAUAGCUUUUAACCAAUUCCAAUAGACACCUCAUUUUAAGAAGCAAAGGUUAUCUUUACAGUUCUCGAGCUUUCACUAUUGAUGAUUAUGGUAGCUCUCUCUCAUAUGAAAGGUAUGACGUACCUACUUAAUAGAUACCUUUUCGAAGACUAGAAACAUUUUAGCCCUUCUACCGUUUAUAGAUUGCCUUUUCGAAACAACGCUGUUGAAACAGUUUAUUCGCCGUCACUCUAGCAGUUAAUGAGCUGCGGUGAGAUGCGAGAAGUUAUGUUGGACAGAGAGGCACUGUGGAGGCCCUUUAUAUACAUGUAUGAAGGAUCUUUUUGUAAGAAAACGUUUUAUAAGAACACCCAGGCUUGUUUGGCCAAAAUAAGAACAAUAUAAAACCACGCCAAGUUUCAAAUAAAAAGUUAUUUAAAAAAUAAAAAGCAGUAUGUUAACAAUGAAAAUUACCUCGCAUGUUAACAAAACACAAGAGAGCUUUUCAGCUAGUAAAUCUUACGUGUCAUGCAAAAAUUUUAUUUAAUUGUCUUUGGAACAACUUAUGAUAUCUAGUAAAAAAACUGAUGUUAAAACGAAGACAAUAUUUAAGAAAGCAAACUAACCUUGCAUUAUCCAAAAACUGAGAACAUCAAGUUUUGGCAAAGCUCUCUGGUUCCAUGAAGAAAGUGUAGGUGUAAAGAGAAUAGGUAAGAAACUGCGAAAGAGAGAAAAGACAUCUCAGUUAAAAACCAUGGCAAUGAAAGGACAAUGUUUAUCAGAUUAACCUAAAACCAACAAAACAGUAUAAAUUUGUCAAUAAAGCACAGAGUCGUAAUACGAUUGGCAAAAAAUUUAGCUUUUUGCACGUUUGCAACAACUUUCUUGAUGUUAUUAAAAGUUACACAAGAGGUUUUAUGCUCAAAAUCAUCUAGUACAUUUCAUCAAUUUAUGUUUUUAAUAACAGAGGGAAUGUUUUUAAGAAUUUGAAAGAUAACUUUAUACAACUGCUAAAUACAUCUAUAAUGGAUAGAUUAUAAUUCCUCUUUUUCAAACUAAAUUGCAUAGCCUAAUAUUUAUUACAUGUCGAAGUGUUUACUUCGAUUUUCUUGUCAACACUUGUAAUUAAUUAUCGUGAUACUGAAGUUAUAGCAAAAAAAUAGCAAGUCACCUUUUUGCCACUGUGAAUGGGGAAGAAUUACACAUGUUUCCUGUCGAGCUGGCUGUGGUCUGAUCUUAAUAUGACUCAACAAGCAGCUUAAUUGCACAAGGUUUAGGGGAUCAGAAGUUCACAAAUCCUAUUUAUUUUUUCUUGACAAUUCGUGUAAAAGCAAUCUGAAAAAUUUCAAUCUUUACUCAUCUUCUGAAUUCACUGGGUAUGUUGUAGGCAUAUCAUUCUUUGGUAGAAUAGAAAGGUCGCUUUCAGAUUUUUAGUCACUUUGUGCAUUGGUCAGAAUAUAUCAAUAACUCUAGAAAUAUCUAUGACGUGACAAGAAAUUUUUAUUUUAAAGAAGUUUUUUUCAGCACAAUAAUCAGAAAAAUGCAGAUGUUGUCGAUUGAAGUUAAUUACUUUGACAGUAAUUCUUAACUUUUUCCCACGGCAAGUUAAUUCCCUAUCACCAUUUAAGAAGAGUCGCUGCUUCUCGUGUUUCGUAGUUAUUGAAUAAGUGGAAAAGCUAUUAUGCCCAACGUUUAUAAAAUCAUAUGCAGCCUUGUUCUUUUGAGUAUUACCUGCAUCAUGUUGAAUAGCAAAUUUUCACAGAUAAGUUUUCGAUUUUCCGUGUGAUCAUAAUCGACACUUUUCCGCUUUCCUUUAACUUAUACUAAAAAUCAUUUUCUGCUCUCGAUGGCAAUUUUUGUAUACUUUACUGUUGCCAAUACAGGAUCCAUUGAAUAACUAUCAGCUUGUGAGGAAUAAAGAAAUCAAGUUUGUAGCUUACGAAACAUUCUUUUUGCUCUUUCAAACUUUCUUACCACCGGUAGGAGGUAAUUGAAAUAUUUUUCGACAGACCUGUUUUGAUAAUGAUGUACCAUGUCUCUUGGAAUGAUGUUGAAUUCGAGGGGCAAACCACUUCAUCUUAACCUCGUAUACCUUGUCUACAAAUUCCAAGGAAAUCCUUCGCAUUUGUGGAAAUCUCGCUUACUAUUAACAAUAGUGGAUUACCACACAGCUUAUAACUUAGCAUGAAAUUAAAAAUUUAUUUCAUUGAAAGAGUUACCUCAAAUCAAACGAGAUUUUUUUAAUGGACAUUCAUUUGGUAAAAUGACGUACUUUUCAAACAAUUUGCUAAAGCGAUAUUACUAUUUAAAUACGUUGGUUACGGUUGAUAAUAAGUUUUAGUAAAAUAAUUAAUUAGAGUUGCUACAUGAGUCAGAUAGGGAAUUUUUUAUCGUCCUUGCCAAGAUUUUUAAAGCAGAUUAACAUAACCUCACUUCCUCUGCAUUCCUCUAUUUAGGAACAUUUUGUUAAAUCUGACCAUCUCAUUAAAAUGUCACAUUUUUUCUUCCUCUUUAACUGACCCAAUGUUGUCCAAAACGUAUCCCUUCCCAUAGUCAUUGGGGCUUGGAGGGCUGGAUCCCUCCUAACAAGGCUGAAUUCAUGCAUUUCAGGGCUUAUUGGGGCAGCUUUAUCUAAAUAACGUCAUAAGAUUCGGGCAAGAUCAAUACAAAGCCCCCUGAACAUUUAGCAUCUGCUACGCUCAUAUUUUUUCCCGUUUCAAAACAGUCUGUUAAACAAUAUAUUAAACAGCAUACUUACACCUUAAAACAUGUAUGUAUCAUGAAAAGAAAUGAAGUAAAAAUCUUACAAGGUAGUUUUAUCCACAAAAAGUUUCAUAAGGUAGUUUUACCCAGAUAAGUUUAUUUCUCAUUUUUUUUCAUGAUUAACACGAGACUUCUAGUAGGAACGUCAGGCAAAUUUUUUCAAUUAAGGUUUCCCCGAUGGUGUUCUAAGACUGUUUGAUAACGUCCGUAGGCACAGUCUUCAGAGUGUGCACAAGGUCCAAGGAACAUUGGAACAUCGUUUCUGAAUUGAUGAAAACAGUUACAGAAGCAAAGAAGUGUAUAUUGCAAUGCAUUUACAGCACCUCUUAAGGAUCUGAGUAGCUCAAAGCUCAGAGAAGUUGUAACAUUUGCAGACUGUAAGGACACACUGUUUCCCUUGAGAAAUUAUGAGUAAAUUGCCUGUUUGAGGAAAAGAAUUCAAGACAUCAAGGCCUCACGUGUCCGAGGGUCGUGGCACCAGUUGCUCGUGACGUCACAUUUGAACAGGCAUAUUUGUGAAGACACAAGCACUUGGGGCAUCUCCAGCCGAUUUUUGAUGAGCUGAGUCAUUUUGGCAUAGGACGCUGAUUUUAUCCAAGUCGUCGACCUAAAGCAAUAUACUACGCAUAUUGUUUUAAUUCAAUUUCAAAGAGAUGAGAGCCAGUGACCUCUGAACGGUACAGUCAUAUUCGUCUCUGUUCAUCCGCAGCAAAUGUGGUUUGUAGCGUUAAUUUAAGACUUCUUUUCUAUCAUGUUUUUCUAAAGAAAGUUGCAUGUUUUUUGCUUUUGGAGUAAAUGGCUUUAUUAACGUAACUGUAUUACUGUGUUCAGAGAAAGCUCUCUCAGCGUCAUUUCCUGAGAUUUAAUUUAAUGAUUUUAUCAUUCCAAUAAUACCUUUUGAGGAAAUUUUUAUAUUUGUAUCUUGACCACAAUCGUGGUCAUUUGAUUUAUCGGGAAAUUGCAUCUAUUCUAGUGGCUUUCUAAAAUUCUUUAUAAGCAUAAUCUUUUCCAAGCUUGGAGCUGUGUCUUUAAAAUAGCACUUUUCUUUCAUGCAAGUAAAAAGUAGAAUGAUAUUGUAGCACUAGAUUGCAUCACAUUGGCAAAGCUUUUUACAGCUUGUGUAUUUACAUUCUUGUGCACCAAUGACGCCCAUCACUGAUGGUCCCUCCCUUCACGAUUUUGAAAUGAAGUAGUCUUUCAAAGGGGCCUGGGCAAAUUGGCCCGAAUCCUACACCUAGUUUUAGAGUGAAAUUCUGUAUUUAGCUCUCAAUACCUGUCAUUUUUCUAGAUAAACAAAGUAGAGUGCCUCUGAAAAUUUUUCUUUUUAAAUGCUUGUUUCCUUAAACCGUCUUGUCAAUCUCCAAGAUAAAUUUUAUCCAACGCUAUCCCUAAUUCAUCACUCGUAUCACACCUUGUAUGUUUGCCAUGAAUGCUACAUCUAGUUUCCUUCACAUCUGCGAUAAAAAAUCAAAAAGGAAACAAGUUAUCUUAGCACUUUUCAAGAGACGAAAUAAGAAAGGCCCAGGAAUCAACCUUAAGGAACUCCGCGAAUAAUUUUCUAUUUGCUUUUGCUUCCUGUUUCUUAGAUAAGAUUCAAUUCACGAUAAACGUUAGUAAUGGUAAAAACUUCAUCUUUGUAGAUCUAAGUUGAUCUCGUCUAAUCGUAUUUUUUAACUGUACAAAAUUAACAAUGUUAUGUUUAUCUGAAUAAAAGAAAAUUUCAGGAUAGGCUACUUUGAAAUCCUAGAUUCCUUGUUGAAUGGACAACAACGACCAUUCAAAGUAAAAUUGGCGUUUCAUAUACAGUAUUCUCUCCAAUAAACGGACACUUU